UGAAGAGCAGAAAGAGUUGAGGGGAAACUAAACAAAUACAAAGAGGAACAGAGGAGCUGAGGAGGAGUGGGGGAAAGCGAUGGAGGCCAACGUGAUCCGUCUGAGCCACUGCCAGAAGGAAAUCUUCUGCUUCUCCGUCCCGGAGACGUGUCCCAGCUGUGGCGAGGAGUUGAAGGGGAGCAGACUGCAGGAGGCGCCGGUCAGCCUGCCCUCUCCCCUCACCAACGGACACAAGACCUCCUGCUGCCUGCUGGUCGCUCCCGCUCACGACAACCAGGCCCGGGACUUCGAUGGGACAGCGGAUCUGCACACUGGCAUCUCCAGCACCAAAGGAGUUGUGUACAACUACACUCGUGAGGGCGUCCAGAGGGAGCAGAGCGGGUGGGAACGCUGCGUCAGCAUCCCUCUGGUCCGACCCGACAUGUUCCACCUGCUGGCCCAGUGGGACCAGUACCUGGAGCGCUUCUCAGGUGGGCCUGUAUGGGACCCCGCCUGGCAGAGGUUCCACGAGGACGACCACAACUGCUUCAGCUUCUGUCUGCACUUCGUCAACAGCGUCCUGGCGGCGGAGGGCCUGGCCACUCUGAGCAGGGACGACUUCACCCGCUGCUUCAUCCUGCCCAGGAUGAGGAGGGUGUCCAAGUACACCACGCUGUACCAGCACAUCCAGAGACAACAGUUCUACGUGGUGGACAAGCAGCUAGACGCAGCAGCCUCCUCUUAAGCCGGGCAGACACUGUGCGAUUAUCGGCUCGUUUCGAGCCGAUUUUCCAAUCGUGCGACUAUUUUUUGGAUCGGGCUGGAUUUCGACCCAAUCGUUGGUCGUGCCUCGUGCAGUAAACGUGGGGUAACGACGAGAGAUUAACACCUCACGACGAGAGAUUAACACCUCACGACGAGCUCCCGAUCACGAAUCGUGUGCUCGCAAGAAAAUCAACCGUGUUUGGAAUCCUGGUCGUGCUACGACCCGAUUCGCCUCAUCCUUUCACAGAGAGCAUGCGCAAUCUCUGAUGUCACGUCAAAAACUAUUAUUUGUAGUUUAAAGUGUUGCAAAUUCCCAUUACAAAAAAAAGACAGCAUUUCCCACGUCUGCCCAGCCAAUUCCUUGUCCAAUCACGACGUUGUCUAAUCUUUUUUCAUUUAUCGCCACACAGAAUGGCACAAAUUG